CGGCUCAAACGCCGUGUGUUGGUUACAGGUCCCCCAGCAACCGAUUGCUGGGGACCUGGACCCUUCGUUAUAAACCAGCGUUAUAAAAAAAACUGAUAGAACGCUGGGAACAGACCCGAGUCCAGCGACGUGCACACAUGACACAACUAAUGUGAGCUUCAUUUCACCGAGCGACCCAGAUACAGAGGAUGGGCAUGGGCAUGGGCAUGGUUGUGGAUUCAAUAAGGGUGUGAAGGGCGGCUUAGACUUGGAAGACAAACCUGUCAGCCAGGAUAGCAUGCAUCAAUCAUCAUCCAAGUGGAGAAGCAGCAGCCUUUUCAUUGGUGUUAGAGACACGAUAUACUCCAGGGCUGCGUCAAAGUCGCAAAGAGAUGGCUGUUCAAUUUGCCGUGGUCUUUGAGGACCUACCCGCGGAGAGUGGAAGAUAUUGCUGGUAUAUUUGUCUAAUAAAUGCAAGUAUGUUCCUUUUGAUCCACAAUGAUUUACGGUUUGCGUUAGUUAAGUAUAUAUACAUCUCACAAUCCCACUUGUGGGCGACAGAGGCAAUGUUGACAGGGAUUUCAGUUGCGUAACUGCAGACGUUUUGUUUUUGUACUGUUCUUGCACACGAAAAUUAUUCCAGGAAAAUGGGAGUUUACUACUUAUCUUGGAAGUGCCAGGUAAGCCAGGUGAGUGUCUACUAUGGUUGGGCCAUGUAGUAUACUUACCAGUUAGUCGACAGUUAAUACAUAAACAAGCAAGAAACCCGCUUCAUUAAUGUCCACCAGCAAAAGAAUGCUGCAUUUACUUGCCUCAAUGUAUGAUACAUAUCCUUUUCAAAUGGCAUCCGAUAUUUGCCCUUUUAAAUGCCAUCAAGUAUCUGCCUAUUGACCGGACCUCUCGAUUAUACUUUUUCCUAUACAGGAGGUGCAAUAUCCUGGAGUACAAGGACAAGGGAGAUACUUUUUCCUGUAUUAUUUGUGAUAAAUUUUUUACAAAAAAAUAUAUUCAUUAUUAUGUAGGUCUGUGCUUCACAAUGACAGGUUUGAUUGUACUCUCUUUGUAUUAUUCCUCCCUUCUUACAACUUCAAGAAUGAUGGAGAAUAGACAUGUUGACAAGGAGAGAAUACUCAGUACUGUAAUAAAACAUAGCAUGUAAUAAAAAAGUAAUAUAAUUAGUUGCUGGUCG